rnacentral:rRNA from 1 species
CCUACGGGUGGCAGCAGUGAGGAAUAUUGGUCAAUGGGCGUAAGCCUGAACCAGCCAAGUCGCGUGAGGGAUGAAGGUCCUAUGGAUCGUAAACCUCUUUUAUAAGGGAAUAAAGUGCGGGACGUGUCCCGUUUUGUAUGUACCUUAUGAAUAAGGAUCGGCUAACUCCGUGCCAGCAGACGCGGUAAUAAGGAGGAUCCGAGCGUGAUCCGGAUUUAUUGGGUUUAAAGGGUGCGUAGGCGGCCUUUUAAGUCAGCGGUGAAAGUCAGGGGCUCAACCCUAGGAUGGCCGUUGAAACUGGGAGGCUUGAGUAUGAUAGAGGCAGGCGGAAGGCGAUGUGUAGCGGUGAAAUGCUUAGAUA